AGCGUGUAAACAGAAGUAGCAUGCAAACAAACCAGAUGUUCUCAUACUUAGGUAUUUUAGCUUAGAUCACUCGGUAUUUAUGCAAGCAUUUAAUGAAUUAAUUGGAUACAUUUAUUAUAUCGGUGAAUAAAUGGGCGUCAGGAUGAUGUUUGUGGUAAAGAGGUUAUUGUCACUUUUUGCCACCAGUUCGGCUCAGCUGUUUAUUAAAGGGUCUAUUAGAUGGAUGGACUUAUCCGACCACUGGUAUUGUUUGUAGCAAUGCAAGUGUAACUGAUUGGUCAAGAUUCGAAAACCCACCCACUCUUGUACAACCUUGUCAUAACAGAUUUGAGUAUCAGACUUGCAACCACCAACCUCAAUAUACGACCAGGGGUUUCACUAGACCCGGGCUUUCGCGGAUCUAGUCCUGGAUGUUUUUUGAUCAGCCCCUAGUUUUCUGCGAGCUGAUAUUAACACAGCAAUGGAAUCAACAUUUGCAAGGCGAGCAAACAAGUUCUUCUUGAAUCGUGACUUCUUUUUGCGCUGUGUAUUGUCAUAUAUCGUAAGAGAAAAAAAGCAACCGGGGCUGUAAAUAAUGCCAAAACAAGCAACAUUGGUGCUGCAGCCGAAGCCCCCCAAACCAACGCAAACUACACACACGUGUACCAUUUAGUUCUGCUAGAAUCAUUCUUUCACACGAAGCAACACAACAUCCUUCAACAACAGCGAUCUCGCCUCCGUUCACCACACCUGGCUCUCCUCUUCCACACGCCAUUGCGCUGCCUUCUGACCUCAUCAAAAAACAUUUGGAGCACGCGAACAUCUGUAGGACACUUUUGA
rnacentral:lncRNA from 1 species